GCGGCGUGCUUAACACAUGCAAGUCGAACGGAAAGGCUUUGCUUUUGUGGGGUGCUCGAGUGGCGAACGGGUGAGUAACACGUGAGUAACCUGCCCUUGACUUUGGGAUAACUUCAGGAAACUGGGGCUAAUACCGGAUAGGAGCUCCUGCUGCAUGGUGGGGGUUGGAAAGUUUCGGCGGUUGGGGAUGGACUCGCGGCUUAUCAGCUUGUUGGUGGGGUAGUGGCUUACCAAGGCUUUGACGGGUAGCCGGCCUGAGAGGGUGACCGGCCACAUUGGGACUGAGAUACGGCCCAGACUCCUACGGGAGGCAGCAGUGGGGAAUAUUGCACAAUGGGCGGAAGCCUGAUGCAGCAACGCCGCGUGCGGGAUGACGGCCUUCGGGUUGUAAACCGCUUUCGCCUGUGACGAAGCGUGAGUGACGGUAAUGGGUAAAGAAGCACCGGCUAACUACGUGCCAGCAGCCGCGGUGAUACGUAGGGUGCGAGCGUUGUCCGGAUUUAUUGGGCGUAAAGGGCUCGUAGGUGGUUGAUCGCGUCGGAAGUGUAAUCUUGGGGCUUAACCCUGAGCGUGCUUUCGAUACGGGUUGACUUGAGGAAGGUAGGGGAGAAUGGAAUUCCUGGUGGAGCGGUGGAAUGCGCAGAUAUCAGGAGGAACACCAGUGGCGAAGGCGGUUCUCUGGGCCUUUCCUGACGCUGAGGAGCGAAAGCGUGGGGAGCGAACAGGCUUAGAUACCCUGGUAGUCCACGCUGUAAACGGUGGGUACUAGGUGUGGGGUCCAUUCCACGGGUUCCGUGCCGUAGCUAACGCUUUAAGUACCCCGCCUGGGGAGUACGGCCGCAAGGCUAAAACUCAAAGGAAUUGACGGGGCCCCGCACAAGCGGCGGAGCAUGCGGAUUAAUUCGAUGCAACGCGUAGAACCUUACCUGGGUUUGACAUGGAUCGGGAGUGCUCAGAGAUGGGUGUGCCUCUUUUGGGGUCGGUUCACAGGUGGUGCAUGGCUGUCGUCAGCUCGUGUCGUGAGAUGUUGGGUUAAGUCCCGCAACGAGCGCAACCCUUGUUCACUGUUGCCAGCACGUUAUGGUGGGGACUCAGUGGAGACCGCCGGGGUCAACUCGGAGGAAGGUGGGGAUGACGUCAAGUCAUCAUGCCCCUUAUGUCCAGGGCUUCACGCAUGCUACAAUGGCUGGUACAGAGAGUGGCGAGCCUGUGAGGGUGAGCGAAUCUCGGAAAGCCGGUCUCAGUUCGGAUUGGGGUCUGCAACUCGACCUCAUGAAGUCGGAGUCGCUAGUAAUCGCAGAUCAGCAACGCUGCGGUGAAUACGUUCCCGGGGCUUGUACACACCGCCCGUCAAGUCAUGAAAGUUGGUAACACCCGAAGCCGGUGGCCUAACCGUUGUGGGGGAGCCGUCGAAGGUGGGACUGGUGAUUAG
rnacentral:rRNA from 1 species